rnacentral:rRNA from 1 species
AUUGAACGCUAGCGGCAGGCCUAACACAUGCAAGUCGAACGAGCGGCGGACGGGUGAGUAAUGUCUGGGAAUCUGCCCGAUGGAGGGGGAUAACUACUGGAAACGGUGGCUAAUACCGCCAACAAUCAGCUAAGCCCAUAUGGGCUUAGCUAGUUGGUGUGGUAAAGGCUCACCAAGGCAACGAUCCCUAGCUGGUCUGAGAGGAUGACGAGCCACAAGUGAACUGAGACACGGGCCAGAAUCCGACGGGGGGCAGCAGUGGGGAAUAUUGGACAAUGGGCGCAAGCCUGAUGCAGGCAUGCCGGGGGGAUGAAGAAGGCCUUCGGGUUGUAAAGUACUUUCAGCUGGGAGGCGUUACCCGCAGGAGAAGCACCGGCUAACUCCGUGCCAGGAGCCGCGGUAAUUC